rnacentral:rRNA from 1 species
UAACACGUGGGUGAUCUGCCUUUCGGUGGGGAAUAACUCUGGGAAACCAGAGCUAAUACCGCAUGUGCUCCAGAUUUCAUUAGCUGGAGUAAAGAUAUAUUGCCGAAAGAGGAGCCUGCGCCGGAUUAGCUAGUCGGUGGGGUAAUGGCUUACCGAGGCAACGAUCCGUAGCUGGUCUGAGAGGACGACCAGCCACACUGGGACUGAGACACGGCCCAG